rnacentral:rRNA from 1 species
GGGGAAUAUUGCACAAUGGGCGCAAGCCUGAUGCAGCGACGCCGCGUGAGGGAUGACGGCCUUCGGGUUGUAAACCUCUUUCAGCACAGACGAAGCGCAAGUGACGGUAUGUGAAGAAGAAGCACCGGCUAACUACGUGCCAGCAGCCGCGGUAAUACGUAGGGUGCGAGCGUUGUCCGGAAUUAUUGGGCGUAAAGAGCUCGUAGGCGGCCUGUCGCGUCGGAUGUGAAAGCCCGGGGCUUAACCCCGGGUCUGCAUUCGAUACGGGCAGGCUAGAGUUCGGUAGGGGAGAUCGGAAUUCCUGGUGUAGCGGUGAAAUGCGCAGAUAUCAGGAGGAACACCGGUGGCGAAGGCGGAUCUCUGGGCCGAUACUGACGCUGAGGAGCGAAGGCGUGGGGAGCGAAC